GGACAUGCCAAAAUCGUGAGAAACCCGCCCCUCCAUCUAAGAAACGCUCCUGAACUUCUUGCUGCUCUCUCAUUUUUCGAAAACGAAUAGAGCUCCCAUGGUAUUCUAGAUCUAUAACACAAUAAGCUCAAAACAAAAAAUAAACAAAAAGAAGAACAGGAUUCGAAAGGGAAUUUCAUUAAAAAUAUUCCGGGUUCAAACUCUGUUUAUUGCCGUUGAUUUUCACCGAUGAUUCAGUUCAUGGUUGAGCUCCAGAUUAACCGUCGAGUUUGCCGUUAAGAUUUGUGGGUCCAAUUUGGUCCGAAUUUGCUGUGAAUUUGUCAGAUUGCUAUGUUUUUCUUUGUUUGAUUUCAAUUUCACAAACUUGUGCUGUUCCAUGAAAUCGAGCAUAUUAAACACGAGUUAAGGAAUCCACCAAAAGAGUUUAGAUGGCGUCAGUUAUGAUUAUUGUAAUUUAAUUCCACAAGCUUAAUUUUGGUCGUUUUUGUCUGCUGCUGCUUACACCAAUCAUUGUCAAAGUAAGAUCAAAAUUUCUCUUCUAGUUGUGCAUCCAAUUUAAGUUCAGCUUAUACAUUCAUUUAUACAUGAGGUCCGAUUUUUGCUUCUUUUUUUGAUUAAUUUACUUCGUUAGCCAUUGAACUCCUAGCUUGCUUUGGUUCUGGCAAAGUUACUUGAACUUUUUUUUUUUUGCGUAUUCACGUUUGCAAAGAAUACAGAGGUGUUGCUUUGAAAUUACUUGUUGAAACCAUUUGGAAUUUUGUCUUUAUAUUUGUUAAGAACGUUGAGGUUGGCUUGGAUUCUUUUGGUUUGUACCGUGAUUAUGCUGCUUUGGUGUUUUCAGAAUGAUUUGGCAUAUUAGACGUGAUUAUGGCUUCGUGUGGAUUUUUAGAAUCUUUUUUAUAUUUGUUUAAUUCAGAAUAUUUACAUUCUUCUCUUUUGAAAUUAGUGGCUAAGUUCAGAGUUUUUCCUGGAAUAGAAAUUUUGUUACCUAACUAGACAAUUUGUGAAGAUGGGUUGCUCGGUUCUCGUGAACCAAAUUAGUCACACGAUUUAGUAGUGCUAUUACAAUAAUGUAUACUAAUUGUUGGUAUAGGUUUGUAAGAGUUUUAGGCUGGACUCAAUUUGUUCGUUGGUUUUGGACUGGUUUUUACCAUGUUAGUUUUAAUAAUUUGAGGCGUGCCAUGCAUAAUAAAAUAAUUAGUCUAUG
rnacentral:lncRNA from 1 species